GCGUCCCAGAAAUAAAUGUCCACAAUCCAUAGUCACCAUCAGUACCAAGAGUCACCAACAAGUCACCAACAAUCAGCAACUGUACCUGUAAAGAUCAUUCCCUCCCCACUCACAGGUGUCAUAUAGGCCAGGGUAAGGUCGAAAGAAACGCAGGAUAAACAACCCUUUCAAGAAUAUCAUCCUGUGCACACCCGAUGUAUGCACCGAUAAUACCCCAUCAGAGUCUGAACUGCUCGUGAUAUCAAUGUUCACCCUUUCAAGAAUAUCAUCCUGUGCACACCCGAUGUAUGCACCGAUAAUACCCCAUCAGAGUCUGAACUGCUCGUGAUAUCAAUGUUCCGCUAAGUGGCG
rnacentral:lncRNA from 1 species